GGGCGUGUGGCGUAGUCGGUAGCGCGCUCCCCUUAGCAUGGGAGAGGUCUCCGGUUCGAUUCCGGACUCGUCCA
rnacentral:tRNA from 1 species